rnacentral:rRNA from 1 species
GAGUUCGAUUAUGGCUCAGGAUUGAACGCUGGCGGGAUGCUUUACACAUGCAAGUCGAACGGCAGCACGGACUUCGGUCUGGUGGCGAGUGGCGAACGGGUGAGUAAUGUAUCGGAACGUGCCUAGUAGCGGUGAUAACUCACGCGAAAGCGUAGCUAAUACGCAUGGCCCUUCGGGGGAAAGCGGGGACCUUCGGGCCUCGCACUAUUAGAGCGGCCGAUAUCGGAUUAGCAGGUUGGUGGGGUAACGGCUCACCAAGGCGACGAUCCGUAGCUGGUUUGAGAGGACGACCAGCCACACUGGGACUGAGACACGGCCCAGACUCCUACGGGAGGCAGCAGUGGGGAAUUUUUUGGACAAUGGGGGAAACCCCUGAUCCAGCCAUCCUGGGCGUGUGCGAUGAAGGCCUUCGGGUUGUAAAGCACUUUGGCAGGAGAAAGAAACGGCACGGGAUAACACCCGUGCAACUGACGGUACCUGCAGAAUAAGCACUGGCUAACUACGUGUUGCAGCCGCGGUAAUACGUAGGUAAGCGUUAAUCGGAAUUACUGGGCGUAAAGCGUGCGCAGGCGGUUCGGAAAGAAAGAUGAAUCCGAGCUUAACUUUGGAACUGCUUGGUGAAUGAGCUAGAGGUGUCAGAGGGAGGUGGAAUUCCGCGUGUAGCAGUGAAAUGCGUAGAUAUGCGGAGGAACACCGAUGGCGAAGGGGCAGCCUCUGGGAUAACACUGACGCUCAUGCACGAAAGCGUGGGGAGCAAACAGGAUUAGAUACUCCUGGUAGUCCACGCCCUAAACGAUGUCAACUAGCUGCUAGCUUCCGGGCCUUGGUAGCGCAGCUAACGCGUGAAGUUGACCGCUCGGGGAGUACGGUCGCAAGAUUAAAACUCAAAGGAAUUGACGGGGACCCGCACAAGCGGUGGAUGAUGUGGAUUAAUUCGAUGCAACGCGAAAAACCUUACCUACCCUUGACAUGUCUGAAUCCCGAAGAGAUUUGGGAGUGCUCGCAAGAGAACCGGAACACAGGUGCUGCAUGGCUGUCGUCAGCUCGUGUCGAGAUGUUGGGUUAAGUCCCGCAACGAGCGCAACCCUUGUCAUUAGUUGCUACGAAAGGGCACUCUAAUGACUGCCGGUGACAAACCGGAGGAAGGUGGGGAUGACGUCAAGUCCUCAUGGCCCUUAUGGGUAGGGCUUCACACGUCAUACAAUGGUCGGGACAGAGGGUCGCCAACCCGCGAGGGGGAGCCAAUCCCAGAAACCCGAUCGUAGUCCGGAUCGCAGUCUGCAACUCGACUGCGUGAAGUCGGAAUCGCUAGUACCGGAUCAGCAUGUCGUCGCGGUGAAUACGUUCCCCGGGUCUUGUACACACCGCCCGUCACACCAUGGGAGUGGGUUUUACCAGAAGUAGUUAGCUCAACUGCAAGGAGGGCGAUUACCACGGUAGGAUUCAUGACUGGGUGAAGUCGUAACAAGGUAA